rnacentral:rRNA from 1 species
UUUGUAUAAUGGGUCAGCGACUUAUAUUCAGUGGCAAGGUUAACCAUCUAGGGGAGCCGUAGGGAAACCGAGUCUUAACUGGGCGUUCAGUCUCUGGAUAUAGACCCGAAACCAGGUGAUCUAGCCAUGGGCAGGUUGAAGGUUGAGUAACAUCAACUGGAGGACCGAACCGACUAAUGUUGAAAAAUUAGCGGAUGACUUGUGGCUAGGGGUGAAAGGCCAAUCAAACCUGGAGAUAGCUGGUUCUCCCCGAAAGCUAUUUAGGUAGCGCCUCGGACGAAUACUACUGGGGGUAGAGCACUGUUAAGGCUAGGGGGUCAUCCCGACUUACCAACCCUUUGCAAACUCCGAAUACCAGUAAGUACUAUCCGGGAGACACACGGCGGGUGCUAACGUCCGUCGUGGAGAGGGAAACAACCCAGACCGCCAGCUAAGGUCCCAAAUUACUACUAAGUGGGAAACGAUGUGGGAAGGCUCAGACAGCCAGGAUGUUGGCUUAGAAGCAGCCAUCAUUUAAAGAAAGCGUAAUAGCUCACUGGUCGAGUCGGCCUGCGCGGAAGAUGUAACGGGGCUAAGUAGUAAACCGAAGCUGCGGCAAUAUA